AUUGAACGCUGGCGGCAGGCCUAACACAUGCAAGUCGAACGGUAACAGGAAGAAGCUUGCUUCUUUGCUGACGAGUGGCGGACGGGUGAGUAAUGUCUGGGAAACUGCCUGAUGGAGGGGGAUAACUACUGGAAACGGUAGCUAAUACCGCAUAACGUCGCAAGACCAAAGAGGGGGACCUUCGGGCCUCUUGCCAUCGGAUGUGCCCAGAUGGGAUUAGCUAGUAGGUGGGGUAACGGCUCACCUAGGCGACGAUCCCUAGCUGGUCUGAGAGGAUGACCAGCCACACUGGAACUGAGACACGGUCCAGACUCCUACGGGAGGCAGCAGUGGGGAAUAUUGCACAAUGGGCGCAAGCCUGAUGCAGCCAUGCCGCGUGUAUGAAGAAGGCCUUCGGGUUGUAAAGUACUUUCAGCGGGGAGGAAGGGAGUAAAGUUAAUACCUUUACUCAUUGACGUUACCCGCAGAAGAAGCACCGGCUAACUCCG
rnacentral:rRNA from 1 species